rnacentral:lncRNA from 10 species
GGGAACUGUCACAUCUUCCUGUGUGAGAUUCUCCCUAAAGAUAAGCAUGAAGCUUAGAGCCCAGCCACCCUCAAAAAAUUGAUUAAAUUGGACAGAACUCUGCUUUAAAAUCAAACAGAGGAGUGCACUCGUGAAAGCAUCAAGGAAAGCAACAACAACACAGGAGGUGGGAAAGGACCCAACCUUUGCCUGAACAACAGUCACUCUUACAAGGAAAUCAGAAAAUCGUUCUUAAUUCUUUUCUCAUUGGUAACCAGGAUUUUGCCUUUCUCAAGCACUUAGGAGUUCUUCUGCACUGAAUGCUGACACAAUAUCUAGAACUACAGCAGCCAUCUUGAGAUAAAUGAAGGAAACCUAAAAACACCAAGAGACGCAUAAUAAAUGCCAACAGUAA